CAGGAGUCAGACUACGGGAGCUAAGUUCCGUGGUCAAAAGGAAAAGAGUCCAGACCGUCAAUUAAGGUCCCAAAGGGAUAGCUAAGUGGGAAACGAUGUGAUUUUGCGUAAACAACCAGGAUGUUGGCUCAGAAGCAGCCAUUCAUUAAAAGAGUGCGUAAUAGCUCACUGGUCGAGUGAAGUUGCGCGGAAAAUUACCGGGGCUAAGUUAUCCACCGAAAUUGCGGAUUUGUUAUAGAAAUAUAACAAGUGGUAGAGGAGCAUUCUAUUGUAGGAAGAAGCUAAAGCGAAAGCAUUAGUGGACGAAGUAGAAGAGAGAAUGCUGGAAUAAGUAGCGAGAGCAAGGUGAGAAUCCUUGCCGUCGAAAGUCUAAGGUUUCCUAGGGAAGGUUCGUCCGCCUAGGGUAAGUCGGGACCUAAGGAGAGGCCGAAAGGCGUAUCUGAUGGACAGCAGGUAGAAAUUCCUGCACUAUAUAAUUUUUAGAAACUAUAAGGGACGCAGAAGUGGAAGGUAAGCGAGGAAGAGGAAAGACUCGUACCGAAAGGGAUAGUGAAAAUAAAGUAACGAAGUACCAAGAAGCACGCUGACGAGAAAAGCUUAUAGAAAUUGAAUUAUAUACCCGUACCGCAAACCGACACAGGUAGAUGAGGAGAAGAUCCUAAGACGAUCGGGAGAAGCAUUGUUAAGGAACUCGGCAAACUGACCCCGUAACUUAGGGAGAAGGGGUACCUAGAUAAAACUAGGUCGCAGAGAAUAGUCCCAAGCAACUGUUUAACAAAAACAUAGGUUUCUGCCAAAUCGAAAGAUGAAGUAUAGGAGCUGACACCUGCCCAGUGCUGGAAGGUUAAGGGAAAAUGUUAGUAGUAAUACGAAGCAUAGAACCAAAGCCCCAGUGAACGGCGGCCGUAACUAUAACGGUCCUAAGGUAGCGAAAUUCCUUGUCAGGUAAGUUCUGACCCGCACGAAAGGUGUAAUGAUUUGGGAGCUGUCUCGACAAUGUACUCGGCGAAAUUGUAGUACUAGUGAAGAUGCUAGUUACCUGCGACAAGACAGAAAGACCCCAUGGAGCUUUACUGUAGUUUGAUACUGAGUUUGGUUAAUUUAUGUACAGGAUAGGUAGGAGACAGAGAAGCUUAGGCGCCAGCUUAAGCGGAGUCAACGUUGGGAUACUACCCUUAAAUUAACUAAAAUCUAACUUGUAAUCAUAAGCUGGUUAAAGGACAAUGUCAGACGGGCAGUUUGACUGGGGCGGUCGCCU
rnacentral:rRNA from 1 species